UAAUGUUAGACUAUCGAGUAAAUGUGAAAUUUGUUGAAUUUAUUUGAUUUGGGGUCAAUGUGAUAGGAUUAAAAGUGGAGGGAGUGCAAGUGUGGUUGGUGUGUGUCCUAGUAUAUAUGUGUGUGUGUGAGGGUGUAGAGGAUCAAAAUCCCCAACCCUCUUUCUCUCUCCUCCCGAUCUCUCUCUCUCGGCUUCUCUCGUUCUCUCUCUCUCUCUCUCUCAAACUCUCACACUCUAACACCCCAAAAUACCUCGAACCCACCUCAAUCCGCCGCAAAGUUCUCGCAUUCAAGUGUUCUAGAGCUUGGAAAUUCGUGGGUUUGAGCUCGGAGAGGAGUAUUCGGAUGAUUCGAAGUUUUCGGAGCUAGGGCUUGCUUGGUUGGGCUUGGAUUUCGUUCUUCGACUUUGAGGUGUGAACCCGGAGCAGUAGAAUGGAGCGAAGUGCAUGCAUUCAAGUGCAUAUUUUCAAAAGAAGUGGCAAAAGAGACUCAUGGACUUUUGAUAAAACAUGUUUUGGGAAUGUAAUAGCACCUUAACUCUAUUUCUUUUUAUGAUGUAAUAUAUUCAAACUCUUGGAGUUGGAUCUGUAAUUUAAUGAUUUGGACUUGGUGAACUCUUUUGGGGUAUUAUGUAAGAUAAUGUGAGGGGUUUUAUUUAUGAAAAGCUAUCUUUAUUUAUGUUGAAAA